GAUGAACGCUGGCGGCGUGCCUAAUACAUGCAAGUCGAGCGAACUGAUUAGAAGCUUGCUUCUAUGACGUUAGCGGCGGACGGGUGAGUAACACGUGGGCAACCUGCCUGUAAGACUGGGAUAACUCCGGGAAACCGAAGCUAAUACCGGAUAGGAUCUUCUCCUUCAUGGGAGAUGAUUGAAAGAUGGUUUCGGCUAUCACUUACAGAUGGGCCCGCGGUGCAUUAGCUAGUUGGUGAGGUAACGGCUCACCAAGGCAACGAUGCAUAGCCGACCUGAGAGGGUGAUCGGCCACACUGGGACUGAGACACGGCCCAGACUCCUACGGGAGGCAGCAGUAGGGAAUCUUCCGCAAUGGACGAAAGUCUGACGGAGCAACGCCGCGUGAGUGAUGAAGGCUUUCGGGUCGUAAACUCUGUUGUUAGGAAGAACAAGUGCGAGAGUAACUGCUCGUACCUUGACGGUACCUAACCAGAAA
rnacentral:rRNA from 1 species